GAGUUUCACCAUUUUGUUGCAUCGCUGC
rnacentral:sRNA from 1 species